GAUGAACGCUAGCGGCAGGCUUAAUACAUGCAAGACGAACGGUAAGUGUUGUAGCAAUAUAGCACGAGAGUGUCGUACGGGUGCGUAACACGUAUGCAACCUACCUUGUACAGGAGGAUAGCUCGGGGAAACUCGAAUUAACCCUCCAUAAUAUAUUUGAAUGGCAUCAUUUGAAUAUUAAAACCUUGGUGGUACAAGAUGGGCAUGCGUCUGAUUAGUUAGUUGGAGUGUAAUGGACUACCAAGACGAUGAUCAGUAGGGGGCCUGAGAGGGUGAUCCCCCACACUGGCACUGAGAUACGGGCCAGACUCCUACGGGAGGCAGCAGUAGGGAAUAUUGGUCAAUGGGUGCAAGCCUGAACCAGCCAUGCCGCGUGCAGGAAGAAGGCGUUAUGCGUUGUAAACUGUC
rnacentral:rRNA from 1 species